UGUGGAUGGAUGGGGCAAGCUUUAGAGCUAGAUGUCCUUUAGUCCUUCCUCAUCUCGCUCUCUCUAUCGCUCUCCAUCUCUUGCUCCCCCUCGCUCUUCUCUCUGUCUCUCGCUGUAACCCCCCCUCUCUUUCUCUCUGCACCUGAAGACAUCCGUCCAUCUGCCAAAUCCUCCUUCAUCAAGUGCUGUCCAGAGGAGAUCUAUCCGCUGCUUUCAACACAGUGAACCAUCAGAUCCUCCUCUCAGGGCUGGGUGACGCAGGCUCUACACACUCUAAGAUUGCGUCCUGCCUGGCAGGUCCCUCCUACCAGGUGGCGACACCUCGACAAGAUGGAGCUGCUCUUCCCUUUUUUGAGGAUAAUACAGUGCCACUGACACGGCAUGCUACCAAAGACUGUAGGCUCUCCUUCUCCGUGGCCGACUCUGCUGUCCCCACAUGCUUCAAUAUGGCCACCAUUGUUCCUGUUCCCAAGAAAGCAAAGGUCCACAGACGAUGCAAUCGCCAUCAAAUUGUACACUGCCCUAUCCCACCUGGACAAGAGGAUGACCUAUGUAUGAAUGCUGUUCAUUCACUACAGCUCAGCAUUCAACACUAUGGUACCCUCAAAACUCAUCAUUAAGCUUAAGACCCUGGGUCUCGACCCCGCCCUGUGCAACUGGGUCCUGGACUUCCUGAUGGACCACCCCCAGGUGGUGGUGAAGGUAGGAAACAACAUCUCCACUCUGCUGAUCCUCAACACUGGGGCCCCACAAGGGUGCGUUCUCAGCCCCCUCCUGUACUCUCUGUUCACCCAUGACUGCGUGGUCAUGCAUGACUCCAACUAAAUCAUCAAGUUUGCAGACAACACAACAGCGGUAGGCUUGAUUACCAACGAUAAACGAGACAGCCUACAGGGAGGAGGUGAGGAUUCUCUGAGUAUGGUGUCAGGAAAAUAACCUCUCACUCAAUGUCAGCAAAACAAAAGAGAUGACUCUGGACUUCAGGAAACAGCAAAGGGAGUACCCCCCUAUCAACAUCGAUGGGACAGCAGUGGAGAAGGUGGAAAGAGCAGGGCUCUCCAGAAGGUGGUGCGGUCUGCAAACGUAUCACCGGGAGCAAACUACCUGCCCUCCAGGACACCUACAGCACCCGAUGUCAAAGGAAGGCAAAAAAGAUCAUCAAGGACAAUAACCACCCGAGCAACUGCCUGUUCACCCCACUUCCAUCCAGAAGGCGAGGUCAGUGCAGGUGCAUCAAAGCUGGGACCCAGAGACUGAAAAACAGCUUCUAUCUCAAGACCAUCAGAUUGUUAAACAGCCAUCACUAACAUAGAGAGGCUGCUGCCUACUUACAGACUUGAUAUCAUUGGCUACUUUAAUAAAUGGAACACUAGUCACUUUAAUAAAGCCACUUUAAGAAUGUUUACAUUUCUCGCAUUACUCAUCUCAUAUGUAUAUACUGUAUACUGUAUCCUUCACUCUCUAUUCUAUCUAUUACAUCUUCGCCGCCCUGUCACUGCUCAUCCAUAUAUUUUUACAUUUAUAUAUUCUUAUCCCAUUCCUUUACUAGAUUGUGUGUAUUUGGUUUUGUUGUGGAAUUGUUGAUAUUACCUGUUAGAUACUGCUGCACUGUCUGUCUGCCUGUAGUGGUGUGGAGUUGGGUUGGGUUGUUGCCGAAACAUCUCCAUUGUGACUACUAAUAAUACACCAAAGUAAUAUUUCAUUUGUAAGUGCUGGCCGUCUUUAUCUUACAAGCCAUGUUAAAAGACAUGGAGAUCUCUGGAAGAGCUGGGAAUGAUCCCUUGGGGGAUUGUUCACCACAAAUGAAAUCCUUGAAUCAUGAACACUCUGAAGGUGAACUGCUCCCUAUAUGAAAUUGUAUGCCUGAACUUCAUGUAUGUUUUGUCCUCCCACUGUGAACAAUGAGUGGAUGUACAAUCUCACAUUUUUGAUUUAUCUUCGACCUGCAUGUUUUUUCAUGGGGCAAUUUAGCUUUUUGUAAAUAUCUGAAAUUAAUGCAAAGACGGAGCAUUGUGAGAAGACAUUACGUAUCCUCUCCAGACGGUAUUAUGUCAAAGGGAAAUUGUAUUUUCCCAGCUAGAUAUAAUUAAUUACUUCUUGCAGAGAGUCAGAGGCGCACAUACGGCUCACACAUUUUAUGUACAAAUUGCAUUUUCUGUUUCAAUAAAGCUUGCCACACAA